rnacentral:rRNA from 1 species
CAACGUAGGUAAUCUACCUUCGGGUGGGGAAUAACCCAGGGAAACUUGGGCUAACACCGCAUAAUGCAGCGGCACCACAUGGUGACAGUUGUUAAAGCGGGGGAUUUUAGGACCUCGCGCCUGAAGAGGAGCCUGCGGCGGAUUAGCUAGUUGGUGAGGUAACGGCUCACCAAGGUGACGAUCCGUAGCCGGCCUGAGAGGGCGGUCGGCCACACUGACACUGACAUACGGGUCAG